rnacentral:lncRNA from 1 species
AGUUGUUACUGUCUUAAGCAUGCAUAGGAGUUUCACAUGGCUAGAUGCAAUGAACCUGGAGAUUUUCCCAAGAAUGAGCCUUUCAAUCAUAGAGAGACUGAAAGACUGAGACUGCAUUUAUUUCAGAAAGUGAUUGGUGCAGAGGUAUGAUGAUAUAUUUUCAGUGUGUCUAUCAAGAAGGUGGUGUUGAAAUAUCUGUGGCAAUAUUGGCAAGGAGUCAGUCUCUUGCUAUUUCACAAUGGCCUUAAUCCUAGUGAUGGCAAUUUCUUCUUGCAACAAAGAAAGACAGUGACACCAAAGGAGAAAUAUUCAAAGUGGGAUGAAAGGGGUUGACAUUAGAAAAGACUUCAUGGUGAUUGGAAAAAAAUGGAAAAAGAUUUUGAAAGCACUCCAUCACAGGGCACACUACAAUCACAAACUUCAUGCCUUACACAGUUUCCUUUCCUGUCAUACUAACUGUGCUUCUUCAACAUCUCCUGGGAACCAGAAGAAAGAGCAAGGUUUCCAAACACCAAUAGGUGAAUUCAAGCAACCCACAUCUAGAUGGAGCACCACUCAAUAAUGCUCAAAAGCCAGAUGAGAGACAACGUGCAAUUGCCUUAUCCCAAAUGGUUAACAGCUGUGUUCAAAUACUCCACCAAGGAGUUUGGCCAAGCAUGCAGCAAGAAACAGAUGGAAUAGAGUGCCUCAGUCAGUGCAGUAGAAAAGCCAUAGGAUUAAAAGGUCAGAAUUUUGGACACAACUCUGCCAGCAACUAACGUUGGCCUGGGCAAAUUUCUCAGGUUCUCCCUCUGUAGAAUGAAGACAUUGAAUAAGACUAAACAGGUGCGUUCUCUGUCAGGCUAAACUCCAAAGAAACUUAAUUCAAUUAUUUUUUCCCCAAAACCUCAAUUCCCUUGCCUCCCUUUUUCCCCCAUGCCUACCUGGCAAAGGCCCAACCCUCAAUCAUGCCAACUAUUUCUAAUCUCUGAACUACCAACUCCUGGACAACUGAGAACCACAGGAGAAAGUGGCACCACUGAGGUCAGUGCCUCACCAGAUCCCUAGCCAGCAGCCCACCCUCACUCAGCAAAGGCCCUGUCCUCAGUUUAGAGAAGUCAGGGAACUCCCUCAAGUCCCUCCUGGUUUGCUCUGCUGGCUCACUCCCAAUGCAUUAAUUGUUUUCCUCUUCCUGUCUCAGCAGAAAAGGAUCUUGCCCUAGAUGAUGCUUCAUUAUCAUUGCUCUACGAGAUAACUUUCUUCUCUUCUAUUUUAUCGGAAGAUUCCCUCAGCAUGAUAUAUUUAUAUCAUCUAUUUUUAAGAAAAAAAAAAAAAAAAAAAAAAAAAACAACCCUCUCUUAUCUGCCCUUUCCUGCUGUUUCCUUUCUUAAGACUUAAGCUCUCUGAAAGAGUAGUCUGUAUUUAUCAUUUCCACUUUCUUAUUUUAAUUCUCUCUUCCACUCACUUCUAUCUGUUUUCUGCUACCAACACCCCAGCGAGCACCUCCUAAGGUCAUCACCUGUCUUAUUGUUAAAUCUAGUCGGCACUUUCUAGCCCACAGGCCUAAUAGCACUUUGCACUAAAAUGUGUGCUCUGAAAUGACCUUUCUCUUGGCUUUUAUGAUCUCUGUCUCCCCUUCUGCUCUCUCCCCUCCAUCCUACCACCCAGUCUAUUCCUUACAUGUUGAUAUCCCCAAGGGUAGUGUUCCAGGCUCUUAUUCCCUGGCUGGAUUUACAUACCAAGUUUCCAAUAUGCUUAACUUUUCCAAAACUGAACUCAUCAUUAUGCUGUUUAAACCCUCUAUUUCUUUCUCAUCUGGGGGGAUCAGCAGGUACCUAAUCAUUGAUAACAGAAAUCUUAGCACCACACUUAAAUUCACCAUUCCUCACACCUCAAUUAUAAUUGGUCACUGAAUCAUAUCAAUUCCAUCUCUUUAGUGUCAUCUUCAUUAUCAGGCAGAUCUAAUCUGGUCAGCCACCAACCCGUGACACCCAACUGAAAACCUGUACAGGUUCUAGAGCACCUAUAAGAUAAAGCUUACCUCUUUGCCAUGGACCUCAAGGCCUUUUUAAAGCCAUUCUUUCCAUACCUCAUUGAUCUCAUCUCCAACCUCUCUCCUCUGUUGCAUCCUAGAGUUUUGCUAAAACAAAUGCCUGAGGUCUCAAAAAUGUGCCAUGCUCUCAUGCUGACAGGAACCUUGCACCUGCUUAUCCUUUCUGCUGGAAUUCUCUCACAAAUCCUCGGUUUCCCAUUUCAGCUGCCCAACUUGUACUCAUGUCUCAAGACUCAGUCCUCUCCACCUACAAAUCUUUCUCGGUGCCCAGUCCAAGUUGCUGCUCCUCCUAUGUGCUCCCCAAGGUCACUGCUUCAUUUUACCUUGCAUCAGUUUUCCAGAAUGGCCACAACAAACUACUACAAGUCUGGGUGGUUAAAAUAGAAGAAGUUGGCCAGGCGCGGUGGUUCAUGCCUGUAAUUCCAGCACUUUGGGAGGCCAAGGCAGGUAGACUGGUUCAAGCCAGGAGUUCGAGACCAGCCUAGCCAACAUGAUGAAACCCCAUGUCUACUAAAACUACAAAAAUUAGCCAGGCGUGGUGGCACAUGCCUGUAAUUGAAGCUACUCAGAAGCCUGAGGCAUGAGAAUCAUUUGAACGACUUUGCAGUGAGCUGAGAUCAUGCCACUGCACUCCAGCCUGGGUGACAGUGUGAGACUCUGUCUCAAAAAACAGAAGAAAUUUAUUCUCUCAUAGUUCUAGAUGCUCGAAGUCCACAAUCACAGUGUCUCUCUGAAGACUCCAGGGAACAUUCUUUCCUUGCCUCUUCUAGCCCCUGGUAUCCCAGACAACCCUUGAUGUUCUUUGGCUUGCAAAUGCCUCACUCUAAUCUCUGCCUCUGUCUUCACCUGAUCCUCUCUGUGUCAUCUCCUCUCCUUAUAAGGACACCAGUCAUUAGAUUUAGGGCCUAUCAAGUGUGACCUGAUCUUAAGUAAUUACAUUUACACAGACCCAUUACCAAAUAAGAUCACAAUUUUUUUAAAAUUUUUAAUUUUUAUUUUUAGAGACAGGAUAUUGCUCUGUUGCCCAGGUGAGAGUGCAGUGGUAUGAUCCUAGCUCACUGCAGCCUUGAACUCUUGGGCUCAUGUGAUCCUCCUCAAUCAGCCUCCCAAGCGGCUAGGACUGCAGAUGUGUGUCGCCAAGCCCAGAUAAUUUUUGGGAGACAUGAGGUCUCACUGUGUUGCCCAGGCUGCUCUCAAACUCUUGGCCUCAAGUGAUUCUGCCACCUUGGCCUCCCUCAGCACUAGGAUUAUAGGCAUGAGCUACUGUGCCCAGACAGUAUUACAUUCUGAGGUUCCAGUUGGACAUGAAUUUUAUGGCGGCACAAUAUUCAACCCACUACAUGUCAUGACAUUUGUAAUACUGUAAUGAAGGAGUCUAUUUUUCCAUUUCCCCCAUCAGACAGUGAGGUCUUUGAGGAUGGAUCCAUGUAAUACUCAUCUUUGAAUUUUUGCUGUCUAAUUCAAUGUCUAGCAUAUAGCAGAAAUUUUAAAUGUUCUUGAAAAUGCAAUUAUGUGCUUGUAUGAUUUUCUCUUUUAACAAUUAAAUUUUCCCUAAUUUGAUACAACUAACUUCUUUCUAGUUUAACUUUAUUUGUACUUCACUUUCUGUCCUUUGAGUUUUUAUUGCACCUACAAUAUAUCCUGUACAUAACAUCUUUUAAUUCAGUCAUAAACAGUUCCUAUAAAACACAAGGGUUCCAAAGAAAAAUAUGAGAGAGAAGCAAUGGACGCAUGAAGUCAACAGACAGCUAAAAAAUAAAAAAUAGAUGGAAGUGAGACAUAGUUUACUAUGAAAUAUCUGGUCCUCCAGGUACUUCUUCAAGCAUUAUAUUACCAGAGACUUUCAGUUAUAAUUCCUUACAUUUUAGAUAUUGUAUAAACCUUCUAGCUGCCUUGAACAAAGGCAUUUUCAAUGAGGUACUAUAUUAGUAUUGCUACAGGUGUGAAAUUAAGUGUAAGUAAGUGUGAGAUACAGGCUAAGCUUCUACAAUAAAGAAACUAAAAAAACCCACUGGCCCCAACAAGGUAAAAGUUUGUUUUUGUAUAUAAUAGCCAUAGUUAGAUAGUUCAGGGGAGCUUGCACGGGGGAGGGGUCUGCACCAUGGACUCAACUUCCUCCUACCAUGAUGCUCUGCCAUGCUCCAGAGCUGCUCCAUCCAAUAUGGCAGCCAACGCCCACGUGUGGCUAUUCAGCUCUUAAAAUGUAGCUAGUCCAAAUUAGGAUAUGUUGUAAGUAUAAAUGUUGUAUUUAAAAGAUUGGUGGGAAUAAAAAAAGGCAUAAUCAAUCUCAUUAAUAAUUUUCUAUUGAUUGCAUUUUGAAAUAAUAUUUUGAAUGUACUGAGUUAAAAAUGUUAUUAAAUUU